UACAUAGGUCUCAAGCGUUGUUCGGAUUCAUUGGGCGUAAAGGGUGCGUAGGCGGCGCUGUAAGUCGGGUGUGAAAUCUUGGAGCUUAACUCCGAAACUGCAUUCGAUACUGCCGUGCUUGAGGACUGGAGAGGAGACUGGAAUUUACGGUGUAGCGGUGAAAUGCGUAGAUAUCGUAAGGAAGACCAGUGGCGAAGGCGGGUCUCUGGACAGUUCCUGACGCUGAGGCACGAAGGCCAGGGGAGCAAACGGG
rnacentral:rRNA from 1 species